rnacentral:lncRNA from 1 species
GCAUUUUGCAGUAAGUUUUUUGUUUUCUUUUCAGGACCUUUCUCUUUAACUCAGCACUGAAGCACUGCUUUCUUUCACAAAGGUUUUACUUCUCUCUGUGGGUGGUUUUGAGAUUACAAUGGCCUAAGAAACCCUUUCUUCAAGGAAUCAUCUGACAAGAAACAUCUAAACACCAGACUUGCCACCAAAACACAUAAAUGGGGCCACCGGCGUCUAUCUGUCAACACCACUGAAACAAUGGCUACAGGUAUUGGAGAAGGGAUAAACCGUAUGAAGCAG